rnacentral:rRNA from 1 species
UGGGGAAUUUUGGACAAUGGGCGCAAGCCUGAUCCAGCCAUGCCGCGUGCGGGAAGAAGGCCUUCGGGUUGUAAACCGCUUUUGUCAGGGAAGAAAUCCUUUGAGCUAAUACCUCGGGGGGAUGACGGUACCUGAAGAAUAAGCACCGGCUAACUACGUGCCAGCAGCCGCGGUAAUACGUAGGGUGCAAGCGUUAAUCGGAAUUACUGGGCGUAAAGCGUGCGCAGGCGGUUAUGCAAGACAGAUGUGAAAUCCCCGGGCUCAACCUGGGAACUGCAUUUGUGACUGCAUGGCUAGAGUACGGUAGAGGGGGAUGGAAUUCCACGUGUAGCAGUGAAAUGCGUAGAGAUGUGGAGGAACACCGAUGGCGAAGGCAGCCCCCUGGGAUAACACUGACGCUCAUGCACGAAAGCGUGGGGAGCAAACA